GCCUCCCAAAGUGUUGGAAUUACAAGAGUGAGCCACUGUGCCUGACCUAUAAUCUCUUUUUAAUAGAACCAUUCUACUGAACUUUGAAUUUUACCCUUGAGAUGACACGUAUGAAAAAGUUUUAAGCAGGGAUGGAGGUCUUUGUCCUCCAAGCAGUGGGACAUCCGGAUUUCUGUAUGAAGCUUCCUUGGUUUGUUUCAGAAGUAAAUGCCAGCCCUGAGUGUCAGUAGUCUGUGAUGAAACGGCAAAGAACUGAGAGACCCCAACAUGGCUGGAUAAUCACCAGAUCAUCAUUCGCCACUACACUACUUCUAAAUCUGUCCUCCCCAGCUAGAGGAUUCUCUUGGAAUAUGGUGGCUAUGACGUAUCUCAUUUUAGGAACCGUACACUGCAUGGAAUGGUGACAA